rnacentral:rRNA from 1 species
AUUGAACGCUGGCGGCAUGCCUUACACAUGCAAGUCGAACGGUAGAGGGGGCAACCCCUUGAGAGUGGCGAACGGGUGAGUAAUGCAUCGGAACGUGCCCAGUCGUGGGGGAUAGCCCGGGGAAACCCGGAUUAAUACCGCAUACGACCUGAGGGUGAAUGCGGGGGACCGAAAGGCCUCGCGCGAUUGGAGCGGCCGAUGUCGGAUUAGGUAGUUGGUGGGGUAAAGGCCUACCAAGCCUGCGAUCCGUAGCUGGUCUGAGAGGACGACCAGCCACACUGGGACUGAGACACGGCCCAGACUCCUACGGGAGGCAGCAGUGGGGAAUUUGGGACAAUGGGCGCAAGCCUGAUCCAGCCAUGCCGCGUGCGGGAAGAAGGCCUUCGGGUUGUAAACCGCUUUUGUCAGGGAAGAAAUCUCUUGGGUUAAUACCCUGGGGGGAUGACGGUACCUGAAGAAUAAGCACCGGCUAACUACGUGCCAGCCGCCGCAGUAA